rnacentral:tRNA from 1 species
UAAUGAGAAAUGAAACUAAUCAUUUAUGGUUUCGACCCAUAAUUCUGGUGUAUAAACACCCUUAUUCA